GACGGACGCUGGCGGCGUGCUUAACACAUGCAAGUCGAACGGAAAGGCCCUGCUUUUGUGGGGUGCUCGAGUGGCGAACGGGUGAGUAACACGUGAGUAACCUGCCCUUGACUUUGGGAUAACUUCAGGAAACUGGGGCUAAUACCGGAUAGGAGCUCCUGCUGCAUGGUGGGGGUUGGAAAGUUUCGGCGGUUGGGGAUGGACUCGCGGCUUAUCAGCUUGUUGGUGGGGUAGUGGCUUACCAAGGCUUUGACGGGUAGCCGGCCUGAGAGGGUGACCGGCCACAUUGGGACUGAGAUACGGCCCAGACUCCUACGGGAGGCAGAAGUGGGGAAUAUUGCACAAUGGGCGGAAGCCUGAUGCAGCAACGCCGCGUGCGGGAUGACGGCCUUCGGGUUGUAAACCGCUUUCGCCUGUGACGAAGCGUGAGUGACGGUAAUGGGUAAAGAAGCACCGGCUAACUACGUG
rnacentral:rRNA from 1 species